UUGUAGCUUAGCUGUAUAGUACUUGCCUGGCAAGAAUGAGGGCCUGGGUUCAAUUCCCAGUACAAA
rnacentral:tRNA from 1 species